rnacentral:rRNA from 1 species
AGAGUUUGAUCCUGGCUCAGGACGAACGCUGGCGGCGUGCCUAACACAUGCAAGUCGAGCGGAGACAUACGACUGCGAAGAAGUUUUCGGACGGAAUCAAAGAUGUAUGUUUUAGCGGCGGACGGGUGAGUAACGCGUGAGCAACCUGUCCUUCACAGGGGGAUAACACAGCGAAAGUUGUACUAAUACCGCAUAAGACCACAGUGAGACAUCUUACAGGGGUCAAAGGAGGAAUCCGGUGAAGGGUGGGCUCGCGUCCGAUUAGAUAGUUGGUGAGGUAACGGCCCACCAAGUCGACGAUCGGUAGCCGACCUGAGAGGGUGAUCGGCCACAUUGGGACUGAGACACGGCCCAAGCUCCUACGGGAGGCAGCAGUGGGGAAUAUUGGGCAAUGGGGGGAACCCUGACCCAGCAACGCCGCGUGAGGGAAGAAGGUUUUCGGAUCGUAAACCUCUGUCCUUGGUGAAGAGUUAGAGACGGUAGCCAAGGAGGAAGCCCCGGCUAACUACGUGCCAGCAGCCGCGGUAAUACGUAGGGGGCGAGCGUUGUCCGGAAUGAUUGGGCGUAAAGGGCGCGUAGGCGGCCAUGUAAGUCUGGAGUGAAAGUCCUGUUUUUAAGAUGGGAAUUGCUUUGGAUACUGUAUGGCUUGAGUGCAGGAGAGGUAAGUGGAAUUCCCAGUGUAGCGGUGAAAUGCGUAGAGAUUGGGAGGAACACCAGUGGCGAAGGCGACUUACUGGACUGUAACUGACGCUGAGGCGCGAAAGUGUGGGGAGCAAACAGGAUUAGAUACCCUGGUAGUCCACACUGUAAACGAUGAAUGCUAGGUGUAGGGGGUAUCGACCCCUUCUGUGCCGCAGUUAACACAAUAAGCACUCCGCCUGGGGAGUACGGCCGCAAGGUUGAAACUCAAAGGAAUUGACGGGGGCCCGCACAAGCAGCGGAGCAUGUGGUUUAAUUCGAAGCAACGCGAAGAACCUUACCAGGUCUUGACAUCCCGAUGACCGCUUUAGAGAUAGAGCUUUUCUUCGGAACAUUGGAGACAGGUGGUGCAUGGUUGUCGUCAGCUCGUGUCGUGAGAUGUUGGGUUAAGUCCCGCAACGAGCGCAACCCUUGCUAUUAGUUGCUACGCAAGAGCACUCUAAUAGGACUGCCGUUGACAAAACGGAGGAAGAUGGGGACGACGUCAAAUCAUCAUGCCCCUUAUGACCUGGGCUACACACGUACUACAAUGGCUGUAAACAGAGGGAAGCAAAGCUGCGAAGCAGAGCAAAUCCCCAAAAACAGUCCCAGUUCAGAUUGUAGGCUGCAACUCGCCUACAUGAAGAUGGAAUUGCUAGUAAUCGCAGAUCAGAAUGCUGCGGUGAAUACGUUCCCGGGCCUUGUACACACCGCCCGUCACACCAUGGGAGCCGGUAAUACCCGAAGUCAGUAGCCCAACCGCAAGGAGGACGCUGCCGAAGGUAGGAUUGGCGACUGGGGUGAAGUCGUAACAAGGUAACC